rnacentral:rRNA from 1 species
ACUCCUACGGGAGGCAGCAGUGGGGAAUAUUGGACAAUGGGCGAAAGCCUGAUCCAGCAAUGCCGCGUGAGUGAUGAAGGCCUUAGGUUGUAAAGCUCUUUUACCCGGGAUGAUAAUGACAGUACCGGGAGAAUAAGCUCCGGCUAACUCCGUGCCAGCAGCCGCGGUAAUACGGAGGGAGCUAGCGUUAUUCGGAAUUACUGGGCGUAAAGCGCACGUAGGCGGCUUUGUAAGUUAGAGGUGAAAGCCUGGAGCUCAACUCCAGAAUUGCCUUUAAGACUGCAUCGCUUGAAUCCAGGAGAGGUGAGUGGAAUUCCGAGUGUAGAGGUGAAAUUCGUAGAUAUUCGGAAGAACACCAGUGGCGAAGGCGGCUCACUGGACUGGUAUUGACGCUGAGGUGCGAAAGCGUGGGGAGCAAACAGGAUUAGAUA